rnacentral:snRNA from 1 species
GGAUGUGAGGGCGAUCUGGCUGCGACAUCUGUCACCCCAUUGAUCGCCAGGGUUGAUUCGGCUGAUCUGGCUGGCUAGGCGGGUGUCCCCUUCCUCCCUCACUGCUCCAUGUGUAUCCCUCCCGAAGCUGCUCACUCGGUCGAAGAGGACGACCUUCCCCGAUAGAGGAGGACCGUUCUUUGGUCAAGGGUAUACGAGUAGCUGCGCUCCCCUGCUAGAACCUCCAAACAAGCUCUCAAGGUUUAACUUCAUUUUCUCAUAUAGGGAUACAUGAAUUCUGAACUCUAAGUCAAGCAUGGUUUGGGCUCACUGUUUGAAACUU